GUAGGUGAACCUGCGGAGGGAUCAUUAACAUAAUAAUACAUGAUUGUGCUGACCAUGCUAAGUUACUACUACGAACCUACUCAGCACAUAUCACCACCACUGUGAACUUUACAAACCAACUUAGGAGCAUGUCAGCUGCUGAGGCGACUCUCAGCUCACAUGUCUCCGCCCCAUUCUCAACCAUUUUUACUCCUCCUCUCUUUCUAUAUCUAUCAUGUUACUAUGCUGUCAUACUGUAUAGUAACUAUCC
rnacentral:misc_RNA from 1 species